UACGAAGGGGGCAAGCGUUGUUCGGAAUUACUGGGCGUAAAGGGCGCGUAGGCGGCUUAUCAAGUCAGGCGUGAAAUUCCCGGGCUCAACCUGGGGGCUGCGCUUGAUACUGAUUGGCUUGAAUGCGGGAGAGGAUAGUGGAAUUCCCAGUGUAGAGGUGAAAUUCGUAGAUAUUGGGAAGAACACCGGUGGCGAAGGCGGCUAUCUGGCCCGUAAUUGACGCUGAGGCGCGAAAGCGUUGGGGAGCAACAGG
rnacentral:rRNA from 1 species